rnacentral:rRNA from 1 species
GAUGAACGCUGGCGGCGUGCCUAAUACAUGCAAGUCGAACGAAACUUCUUUAUCACCGAGUGCUUGCACUCACCGAUAAAGAGUUGAGUGGCGAACGGGUGAGUAACACGUGGGCAACCUGCCCAAAAGAGGGGGAUAACACUUGGAAACAGGUGCUAAUACCGCAUAACCAUAGUUACCGCAUGGUAACUCUGUAAAAGGUGGCUAUACUACCGCUUUUGGAUGGGCCCGCGGCGCAUUAGCUAGUUGGUAGGGUAAAGGCUUACCAAGGCAAUGAUGCGUAGCCGAAUUGAGAGGUUGAUCGGCCACAUUGGUACUGAGACACGGCCCAAACUCCUACGGGAGGCAGAAGUAGGGAAUCAUCCACAAUGGGCGAAAGCCUGAUGGAGCAACGCCGCGUGAGUGAAGAAGGUCUUCGGAUCGUAAAACCCUGUUGUUAGGGAAGAAAAUCCGUGCGAGUAACUGUUCACGUUUCGACGGUAUCUAACCAGAAAGCCACUGCUAACUACGUG